rnacentral:rRNA from 1 species
GGAUGUGAUCAUACCAGCACUAAAGCACCGGAUCCCAUCAGAACUCCGAAGUUAAGCGUGCUUGGGCGAGAGUAGUACUAUGAUGGGUGACCUCCUGGGAAGUCCUCGUGUUGCAUUCC